rnacentral:rRNA from 1 species
CCUACGGGUGGCAGCAGUGGGGAAUAUUGCACAAUGGGGGAAACCCUGAUGCAGCAACGCCGCGUGAAGGAAGACGGUCCUCGGAUUGUAAACUUCUGUUCUUAGUGAAGAAGAAUGACGGUAGCUAAGGAGUAAGCCACGGCUUACUAUGUGCCAGCCGCCGCGGUAAUACGUAGGUGGCAAGCGUUUUCCGGAAUUACUGGGUGUAAAGGGAGCGCAGGGGGGAAGCCAAGUCAGCUGUGAAAACUACGGGCUUAACUUGUAGAGUGCAGUUGAAACUGGUUUUCUUGAGUGAGGGAGAGGUUGGCGGAAUGCGGGGUGUAGCGGUGAAAUGCGUAGAUAUUCGGAGGAACACCGGUGGCGAAGGCAGCCAACUGGGCUUUAACUGACGCUGAGGCUCGAAAGUGUGGGGAGCAAACAGGAUUAGAUACCCGAGUAGUC